CACAGCGGCAAGCCAGAAAGAGCGUCUAGAAUUCAUCCUGUGACCAGGGCUGCUUACCGACCGAUCUGUCUGUGCUUUGGAGGUAGGGUGACUAAAAGGCACAACAAAAGCAGCUAACAAAAAAUUCAGCGAGGAUGAGGAAUAAAUUGUUGGGGUGUGAAUCUCUGCCUGGAAUGUUUAUGCCUACUGUACAAACAAAAUUCAUCUUACAAGCUGUGAGUACCUGGCUUAUUGCAAAUGGACUGAGGCCCUGGAGCCACCGAAGCAACGUGGAGAGUGGGCACUUGUUACUUUAAAGUUACAAAUGUUUCCUUCCUGAAUAGGUGGACAACCCAUAG